AACGGAGCAAUCCGGUCCG
rnacentral:snRNA from 1 species